rnacentral:rRNA from 1 species
AUUGAACGCUGGCGGCAGGCUUAACACAUGCAAGUCGAGCGGAGAUGAGGUGCUUGCACCUUAUCUUAGCGGCGGACGGGUGAGUAAUGCUUAGGAAUCUGCCUAUUAGUGGGGGACAACAUUCCGAAAGGAAUGCUAAUACCGCAUACGUCCUACGGGAGAAAGCAGGGGAUCUUCGGACCUUGCGCUAAUAGAUGAGCCUAAGUCGGAUUAGCUAGUUGGUGGGGUAAAGGCCUACCAAGGCGACGAUCUGUAGCGGGUCUGAGAGGAUGAUCCGCCACACUGGGACUGAGACACGGCCCAGACUCCUACGGGAGGCAGCAGUGGGGAAUAUUGGACAAUGGGGGAAACCCUGAUCCAGCCAUGCCGCGUGUGUGAAGAAGGCCUUAUGGUUGUAAAGCACUUUAAGCGAGGAGGAGGCUACUGAGACUAAUACUCUUGGAUAGUGGACGUUACUCGCAGAAUAAGCACCGGCUAACUCUGUGCCAGCCGCCGUAACAC